CAAUGACAAUGUGCUCACUGAUCUUCUGACCUCUUUCCACUGUGGAGACAAGAUGUAUUCCAUAUGCACAAGGGGAGACCACCACGUGAAGAUGAAGGCCGAGACUGGCAGAGGUGUUGAUGGCAGAGAUUCCUACAAGCCAAGGAAUGCCAAAGAUGGCCAGCAAACCAUCAGAAGCUGGGAAGAGGCACAGACUAGACUGUUCCUUACAACAUUCAGAAGGAACUAACGCACCUGACACCUCGAUCUCACACUUCUGGCCUCCAGAAAUGAGACAAUAAAUUUCUGUUAUUAAA